rnacentral:tRNA from 1 species
GGGAAUUUGGCUUAGUGGUAGAGUGUUUGCCUGACAUGCAUAAAGCCCUGGGUUUGAUUCCUCAGUACCA